rnacentral:lncRNA from 1 species
GGCGGUCGGCCUCUGGUUCGUCUUCUCCGGCGAGCGGCUGGCGGCUAGGGUUUGUGGUCUGGUGUGGGGGUUCUAUUUAUAACCCCUUGCCUUUUGAUCACAGCCGUUCAUUUCGUUUUAAUCUGGGCCGUUCGUUUUUGAUUGAAUCUGGGCCGUCCGUGCGUUUGAAUCUGGACCGUCCGAUCGCGCGAUUGAUCUGGGCCGUCGGAUCGCACCCACGCGGAUCGCCAACGUGGCUCCUUUUGGAGUGACGCGAUCUUGCCACGUGGCAGGCCCCGGUUGGCCGGGACUACUGACCGGGCCUGCUGACGUGGC